GCCUAGUUAGCUUAGUUGGUAGUGCGUCUGCCUUGUAAGCGCUAGGCCCGGCGGGUUCGAUUCCCGCCCGGGGCG
rnacentral:tRNA from 1 species